ensembl:lncRNA
UUUUUUUUGUUUGUUUGUUUGUUUUUCCAUUUGUACUUGCAGUUUUCUGUAAGCUUAUUUCAAGAUCAUUUAACAAAUGAUAGCAAACAAAACAAAACAAAAUGCUCCUAAAUAUAAAAUACACAUAAAUUCCAGGCUGUCCCAUUCUGUUUUUUCCCCUUUCUCCCUAUCCCUUUUUUAUCACUUCAAAUAUGGAGUUUAAUCACUUGGGAUUACUAUGUGUGCUUCUUCUGAUGAACAGAAUUACAAGCUGGCAUCUUAGAUUAAUAAAAAUAUUACUUCACCAAUGUACAGUCUGGAAAUUGGAAUCAAUACAGUCAAGAUAUCUUUCUACACUGUGGAUAGGUGUAAUUUUUACUUAGCCUUAAGAUGGCUGGAGAAGUUAAAGUGUCUAUUGUGUGGAUUUUGUUUAGUCGAUUAGGUCCUUUUCUGAUUUUGUUCCAGUGUACAUUUGAACAACCACAAUGUAAAAGUAGAGAAAUAAUAAACUGAGCUGCAUGCAAUUACAGCCAUUCAGCUACUUGGUGAAAUUUAUGUUUCAGUGCCUUUCUCUGCUAAGUGUUGGCAGUGGGCUACGGUGACAGUAGACUUUGAGGAGGCCUUCUGGGAACCUUGCCAUCCGUGCCCAUCAUGGUGAAAAUAUUUCAGCACACUUUUCAACAUCAUGGACUCUAAGCUUCCAGGGCAGCAAAUCAAUGAGGAAAAUACUUGGCUGAUGAAGUUACUUUGAAGGAUGUUAAGCUUUCUCCUCUUGCUUGGAUGUACCAUCAGCAUGUUUAUGUAAUCUGUAUCAAAGACAUACAAAAAUGUCAGAGGAUUUCUCUACGCUCUCAAGGUUGUACUGAAGCAUGGAGGACAUUCAGGAAACAUCUGGAAGAAAGAUGAAUGUAAUAUCAAUAUUAAAAAAAACAACAAUUAAUAGAAUAAACAAUUUAUUUGUGAGCCUGUCAUCUUAAAAUCAGCCUGGGAAAAACAUUAAUAUUUAAAAAAAGAUAAAAAUUUAAUUAAUGAAAAUCAGCACAGGUUUCUGCAAAACAGAUCUUCU